CCCUACGGGGUGCAGCAGGCGCGAAACCUUUACAAUGCACGAAAGUGUGAUAAGGGAAUCCUAAGUGCUCAUGUAUAACAUGGGCUUUUUUCAAGGGUAAAUACCUUGGAGAAUAAGUGGUGGGUAAGACUGGUGCCAGCAGCCGCGGUAACACCAGCGCCACGAGUGGGGACCACAUUUAUUUGGCCUAAAGCGUCCGUAGCUGGCAUAGUAAAUCUUUUGUGAAAUCGAGGAGCUCAACUUCUCGGCGUGCAGGAGACACUGCUUAGCUAGAGACCGGGAGGGGUAUGGAGUAUUCUAAGGGGACCGGUAAAAUGGGAUAAUCCUUGGAAGACUACCUGUGGCGAAGGCGCCAUACCAGAACGGGUCUGACAGUGAGGGACGAAGGCUAGGGGAGCGAACCGGAUUAGAUACCCGAGUAGUCCUAGCAGUAAACGCUGCGAGCUAGGUGUUGCAUAAUCUACGUGAUUGUGCAGUGUCGAAGCGAAGGCAUUAAGCUCGCCGCCUGGGAAGUAUGGUCGCAAGACUGAAACUUAAAGGAAUUGGCGGGGGGAGCAC
rnacentral:rRNA from 1 species